rnacentral:rRNA from 1 species
UGGGGAAUAUUGCACAAUGGGCGCAAGCCUGAUGCAGCCAUGCCGCGUGUAUGAAGAAGGCCUUCGGGUUGUAAAGUACUUUCAGCGGGGAGGAAGGGAGUAAAGUUAAUACCUUUGCUCAUUGACGUUACCCGCAGAAGAAGCACCGGCUAACUCCGUGCCAGCAGCCGCGGUAAUACGGAGGGUGCAAGCAUUAAUCGGAAUUACUGGGCGUAAAGCGCACGCAGGCGGUUUGUUAAGUCAGAUGUGAAAUCCCCGGGCUCAACCUGGGAACUGCAUCUGAUACUGGCAAGCUUGAGUCUCGUAGAGGGGGGUAGAAUUCCAGGUGUAGCGGUGAAAUGCGUAGAGAUCUGGAGGAAUACCGGUGGCGAAGGCGGCCCCCUGGACAAAGACUGACGCUCAGGUGCGAAAGCGUGGGGAGCAAACAGG